GACAGAGGGUGCAAACGUUGCUCGGAAUUACUGGGCGUAAAGCGCGUGUAGGCGGUUCCGCAAGUCAGGUGUGAAAGCCCAGGGCUCAACCCUGGAAGUGCACAUGAUACUACGGAGCUUGAGUACUGAAGAGGCGAGUGGAAUUCCUGGUGUAGCGGUGAAAUGCGCAGAUAUCAGGAGGAACACCAAUGGCGAAGGCAGCUCGCUGGGACGUGACUGACGCUGAGACGCGAAAGCGUGGGGAGCAAACAGG
rnacentral:rRNA from 1 species